rnacentral:tRNA from 13 species
GCCCUCGUGGCCUAACGGAUAGGCAUCGGUCUCCUAAACCGGGGAUUGCGGGUCGAAUCCCGCCGAGGGUA